GAUGAAGAACGUAGCGAAAUGCGAUAAGUAAUGUGAAUUGCAGAAUUCAGUGAAUCAUCGAAUCUUUGAACGCACAUUGCGCCCCCUGGUAUUCCGGGGGGCAUGCCUGUCCGAGCGUCAUUACAACCCUCAAGCUCAGCUUGGUGUUGGGCCCCGCCGCCCCGGCGGGCCCUAAAGUCAGUGGCGGUGCCGUCCGGCUCCGAGCGUAGUAAUUCUUCUCGCUCUGGAGGUCCGGUCGUGUGCUCGCCAGCAACCCCCAAUUUUUUUCAGGUUGACCUCGGAUCAGGUAGGGAUACCCGCUGAACUUAAGCAUAUCAAUCGGAGGA
rnacentral:misc_RNA from 1 species